rnacentral:lncRNA from 1 species
UCUUGUUCAAUAAAAAGGAGUGGGAGGGCGGGUUUUCAAGUUUACCGCUUACAAAAUUUAAACAGCUUGCUUGCUGCGAGGAAAUUCUAAAAAGGACUAAAUGACGUCACAGAAUAAAUCGUCACACAUGUUGGGUAAAUCUAAAACAUGAAACAAUCCGUGAGUGCCCCGGCGAUAACUGAAUUUAAGUCUAUUAACUUAAAUUCUAUUAUCUCAGAUGGUGCCAUUAAAACAAAAUACAUAUAUGGUUUGGCGAUAUCUGGCCACAGCUUUUAUUCAUAAUAUGAUAGAUUCAUACAAUAUAUAAUAUAGUAUAAUAUAGAUAGAUAGACCAUAGACCCAUGUAUAUGUAGAUAGAUCUAUGGUCG